CCCUACGGGGUGCACGGCAGGGCGUUUGUGUUGAAGCUCAACAAAUGAAGGGAUGGACAACAUCCUAAUCGUUGAUCAGUGAGAAUCUCCGUCAAUUUCUCCAAUAGGCCAUGACAUUCUUUUUCUUGACAAUCGAGAAUGCUUCAGAGUAUGGACUGCGCCAAGGUGCCGUUACGGCUUAAUAGGGAAUCCCGUGAGAACCGGGAGCGGUCCCGCCGCUGUAACCCCUCCCUUCACCCGAAGGGAACCUGUUUAGCCUUGUGAGCCACUUUUCCGCACCAGCGGGAUGGGAAGGCUGCUGAGCAGGCGGGGGGGC
rnacentral:rRNA from 1 species